UAUUAUUUGAUUUCAAUUUCCACAAGUGCAUUCGCACACCAUACAUGACGCAGAUAAUAUAAAUUCUUCAGCGUUAAACAGCAGAAUCAUUUAUCGGAUAUCUAUUCCAACUCAAUCCAAUAGCGGGCAUAGAAAUUAAAUUAAAUUUAAAAUAAUUCAAAGAUUUAAAAUAAAUCUCAUCUCCCUAGCACAUACUAAAUAAAAUAAAAAAUCAAAUACUACCCUCAAAAACCACAAUCACAAGGGAAUAGCGUCGUUGUAAUUGUGUGUAGGUGAAGAUCUGAGAGGAGAUUAUAAUAGACUAGGCUAGACAGUCGAGAGAGAGAGAGAGAGUUAGAUGACCUGAAUCGGCGCUAAAAUAGCGAUUGAAGAGAGAAGUGGAGGGAGAUGGAUUGAUGAUUGAUCGAUUGAGGAGAAGGGAUUGAGUGGAUCGGGCGGAGGUGGUGGUGACUAGGGUUCUGAGGUGUGAAGAGGCCAGUCUUCUCCACAUUGUUUCUUGUGAAUGUGUUCUCGUUUUGAUGUGAGGUCACGCCCUGUUCGUAAUCUACUACGACUUCUCUUUCUGCUGCUGCUAUUUAUUUUUUAUUUUAUUAUCAGUAAGAAAGAAAGAAAGAAAAUGGAGGAACGGAAUGAAAUGAAAUGGGGGUGGCGAUGGGUUCCCGUAUGGGAACCGAGGCAGGCGUGUGUGAGCACUGUUGGAUUCCCUUCGCACGUGACACACUUUCCCCACGUGCGUAACUUGGUUUUUCCCUUCCUUCCUUUUUUUUUCUCCCACUUUUUUAUUUUUUAAAAUUAUAUAUAUAUAUAUAAAAAACGUAAACCCACAGUUCCUCAAACGUUUUAUCCGAACGGCGCAGGGUCUCUUCAGCUUGGCAGCCGAGUGAGUUGCGCAGCCUUGGGUCAUGCGAGAUGUUGCUCCGCUGGCUUGGUUCGGAAUUUGGUUUGGCUUCAUUUGGGUUUGGAUUGUCGAGUGUUGCAGGGUUGGCGUAAUAUUUGUUCUGCUUCGCGCGCCUGGUUGAGUGGCUGGAGCAUUUGCUUUCAUUUUGUGGCAAGAGGGUGUCGCUUGGC
rnacentral:lncRNA from 1 species